UUCACUAUUGAUAAUGUUAUCGAGGGCUCCCAGACAUGCGAGAUUAUCAUUCAAAACUGGGCAUUACAAUUUGUUUCAAAUCUCGAACGUGAUCUAUCAGACAACGGCCUCAUCCCUUUUUCUCCCCUCUACUUUUCUAGGAAAAGUGAAAGUCGGCAAAAUUAGUAUCCAAGGCAGAACAUUGUAAGAAUUAGUUUAGUUUAUAUUCUCACCUGAGGAUGACCACUUUGUGGUUGAAACGCGUAGUGUUUGUUGCAAAUAAAGGUUUGGUGUGUUGGGUUUUUUAAA